rnacentral:rRNA from 1 species
UACGUAGGGUGCGAGCGUUGUCCGGAAUUAUUGGGCGUAAAGGGCUCGUAGGCGGUUUGUCGCGUCGGGAGUGAAAACACCGGGCUUAACUCGGUGCUUGCUUUCGAUACGGGCAGACUAGAGGCAUGCAGGGGAGAACGGAAUUCCUGGUGUAGCGGUGAAAUGCGCAGAUAUCAGGAGGAACACCGGUGGCGAAGGCGGUUCUCUGGGCAUGUCCUGACGCUGAGGAGCGAAAGCGUGGGGAGCGAACAGG